rnacentral:rRNA from 1 species
GACGAACGCUGGCGGCGUGCCUAAUACAUGCAAGUAGAACGCUGAAGGAGGAGCUUGCUUCUCUGGAUGAGUUGCGAACGGGUGAGUAACGCGUAGGUAACCUGCCUGGUAGCGGGGGAUAACUAUUGGAAACGAUAGCUAAUACCGCAUAGGAGUAGAUGUCGCAUGACAUUUGCUUAAAAGGUGCAAUUGCAUCACUACCAGAUGGACCUGCGUUGUAUUAGCUAGUUGGUGAGGUAACGGCUCACCAAGGCAACGAUACAUAGCCGACCUGAGAGGGUGAUCGGCCACACUGGGACUGAGACACGGCCCAGACUCCUACGGGAGGCAGCAGUAGGGAAUCUUCGGCAAUGGACGGAAGUCUGACCGAGCAACGCCGCGUGAGUGAAGAAGGUUUUCGGAUCGUAAAGCUCUGUUGUAAGAGAAGAACGAGUGUGAGAGUGGAAAGUUCACACUGUGACGGUAUCUUACCAGAAAGGGACGGCUAACUACGUG